rnacentral:rRNA from 1 species
GUGGACCUACGGGAGGCAGCAGUAGGGAAUAUUGCUCAAUGGGCGAAAGCCUGAUGCAGCGACGCCGCGUGGGCGAUGGAGCGCCUCGGCGCGUAAAGCCCUAUCAGCAGGGAAGAAGAUGACGGUACCUGACUAAGAAGCCCCGGCUAAAUACGUGCCAGCAGCCGCGGUAAUACGUAUGGGGCAAGCGUUAUCCGGAUUUACUGGGUGUAAAGGGAGCGCAGGCGGCCUGGCAAGCCUGAUGUGAAAUACCGGGGCCCAACCCCGGGGCUGCAUUGGGAACUGCCAGG